GGAAGAACGAGGAAGAAGAGGAGGUGAUUGAAGGAGAAGAUCGGUUCGUUCAAAGGAGGAAAUCAAGCAAGGAUUUGAUAUUUGUUCAAGUCCAUUAAGAAGGGAGCCAAGGAAGAAGCAAGGGGAAGUUAGUACAGAAGAAAAAGCAAAAGGUAGUAACUCUUUUCCUUUAAUGUGAUUGUGCAUUGAUUGCCACAUGCUUGGAUGUGCCUUUAUGCUGAUUGUGCAUGAGAACAUGUAAGUUGCCUUUGCAUAAUAAUAUUUGUCAUGACAAUAUGCGCUGGUUUCCAUUUAUUUUGGAAUGUGGGCGCGAUAGAUAGCGAUUAGCUAUAUGGGUGUAUGGUGUAUAUGCAUCAUUGAUUAUACUUGGAUGCAAGGUGUUGUUCUCUUUGGCCUGUGUAGCAUGUUGUUUGUGAUCUUGUAUGAUUACGUGAGGGAAAUUUGUUACUACUGGGAUUCUUUAGAAUCUCACCCCUUCUUCCAUGUAAUACAGCAAGAGCAAGUACUCCUAAGGGCAAGGGAGUAGUGAUCGGUGGAGUUUAAAAGUGCAGGAAGCUGGCGAUCAUUUGUACAUAUAUAUUUUGUUUAAAAUGCAUCUUAUUUUGGAGUAAAGAUAUAUAUUGUAUAUCUAUUUUGGUAUGUAAAUAUUCCUCCAUAAGGAGAUGACUAAGGGCAGAUAGAUCAUAAUGACUGCUAUUGAAGGAAAUGGUCAAAUUUUUUGAUAUAAUUAUUAUUUGGCCUAAAA